rnacentral:rRNA from 1 species
UGAAUCUNAAACGACAGCCGCGUGUUUAUAGCCUCUUAAGCAUUGAGGCGGUUGGUUUANANAGAUCUCACACUGGCCGCUCGUUUUACAUGCCUAAUACAUGCAGUCGAGCGACAGAGAAGGAGCUUGCUCCUUGACGUAGCGGCGGACGGGUGAGUAACACGUGGGCAACCUACCUUAUAGUGGGAUAACUCCGGGAAACCGGGGCUAAUACCGAAUAAUCUAUUUUACUUCAUGGUAAAAUACUGAAAGACGGUUUCGGCUGUCGCUAUAAGAUGGGCCCGCGGCGCAUUAGCUAGUUGGUGAGGCAACGGCUCACCAAGGCGACGAUAGCGUAGCCGACCUGAGAGGGUGAUCGGCCACACUGGGACUGAGACACGGCCCAGACUCCUACGGGAGGCAAGCAGUAGGGAAUCUUCCACAAUGGGCGAAAGCCUGAUGGAGCAACGCCGCGUGAGUGAAGAAGGUUUUCGGAUCGUAAAACUCUGUUGUAAGGGAAGAACAAGUACAGUAGUAACUGGCUGUACCUUGACGGUACCUUAUUAGAAAGCCACGGCUAACUACGUGCCAGCANCCGCGGUAAUACGUAGUGGCAAGCGUUGUCCGGAAUUAUUCGGGGCGUAAAAGCGCAGCGCAGAGCGGGUCCUUUAAGUCUGAUGUUGAAAGCCCACGGGUUCAACCGUGGGAGGGUUCNUUGGCAAACUGGGGGGACUUAGAAGUUGGCGAACGAAGGCAAACGUGGGCAUUUCCACAAGUAGAGACGGGUGAACAAUGCGUAACACAUUUGGGGGAACCCCAGGGGGGACAGGNNAAUUCAGGGCUGGAACUGACGCUGAGGCNAAAAGCUGGGGGGAACNNGAUAACCCNGAUACCACCCCCGAACCAAAGCGACAUAUAGGGGCUCCCCAUAUGGAAUGAAAAACCACCGGAGANGAAAAUAAGAUAAGCGACGGUGUAACACCNCAUCA